rnacentral:tRNA from 1 species
AAUAAAAUGGCUGAGUUUUAAGCGAUAAAUUGUAAAUUUAUUUACGAGAAUUUUUUCUCUUUUAUUA